rnacentral:tRNA from 1 species
GCCUUCAUGGUGUAAUGGUCAGCACGCUCGGCGCGUAUUCGAGAGGUCCAAGGUUCGAGUCCUGCCGAGGGCA